rnacentral:piRNA from 1 species
UGCCUAGUGUCUUCCAAGGGAUAGAUG